rnacentral:rRNA from 1 species
UACGGGGGGAGCAAGCGUUGUUCGGAUUUACUGGGCGUAAAGGGCGCGUAGGCGGUCAGCACAAGUCAGUUGUGAAAUCUCCGGGCUUAACUCGGAAAGGUCAACUGAUACUGUGCGACUAGAGUGCGGAAGGGGCAACUGGAAUUCUCGGUGUAGCGGUGAAAUGCGUAGAUAUCGAGAGGAACACCUGCGGCGAAGGCGGGUUUCUGGCUGACAACUGACGCUGAGGUGCGAAAGCUAGGGGAGCGAACGGG